rnacentral:rRNA from 1 species
AUUGAACGCUGGCGGCAGGCUUAACACAUGCAAGUCGAACGAGUGGCGGACGGGUGAGUAAUGCUUGGGAAUCUGGCUUAUGGAGGGGGAUAACGACGGGAAACUGUCGCUAAUACCGCGUACCAUCAGAUGUGCCCAGAUGGGAUUAGCUAGUAGGUGGGGUAACGGCUCACCUAGGCGACGAUCCCUAGCUUGUCUGAGAGGAUGACCAGACACAAGGGAAACGGGAAACGGUCAAGACACCUACGGGAGGGAGGUGUGGGGAAGUUUGGAGAAGGGGGCGAAACCGUGUGCGACCAUGGCGCGUGUGUGAAGAAGGCCCUUGGGGUUUAAAGGACUUUCAGGGGGGAGGCGUUACCCGCAGAAGAAGCACCGGCUAACUCCGUGCCAGCAGCCGCGGUAAUAC